rnacentral:sRNA from 1 species
UACGCGUUAGGGAUUGAUGCGGCAUCCUUUUUUGUGUGAGCAUCACUGUUGUAAACAGUGCGGAAGUUUUGUGUUUGUCUAUGAUGUUGUAAAUAGUUUAAAAACUGUAGUGGCACAAAUAAAGAUAUAGCGGAAAGCCCGACCCUGU